rnacentral:rRNA from 1 species
CAGUGGGGAAUCUUGCACAAUGGAGGAAACUCUGAUGCAGCGAUGCCGCGUGAGUGAAGAAGGCCUUUGGGUUGUAAAGCUCUUUUGUAGGGGAAGAUAAUGACUGUACCCUAAGAAUAAGGUCCGGCUAACUUCGUGCCAGCAGCCGCGGUAAUACGAAGGGACCUAGCGUAGUUCGGAAUUACUGGGCGUAAAGCGCGCGUAGGCCGUUGAGUUAGUUAAUUGUGAAAUCCCAAAGCUUAACUUUGGAACUGCAAUUAAAACUGCUCGACUAGAGUUUGAUAGAGGAAAGCGGAAUACAUAGUGUAGAGGUGAAAUUCGUAGAUAUUAUGUAGAACACCAGUUGCGAAGGCGGCUUUCUGGAUCAACACUGACGCUGAGGCGCGAAAGUAUGGGUAGCAAAUAGGAUUAGAUA